AUAAAUAAAGUAAAAAUGAGAUGGUGUAAUUAAAAAGCCAGCUAACCAGUGGUAGAAUGUGAUUAAGAACACCUAGUACUUACUCAUGCUAAUGAUCUGAAGCGUAAAGACCAUCAGUUCCCAGACUUCAUGUUCCAGAUAGGCCAGUCCAUCUAAAUGUGUUUUAAUACUUUUUCUGUAAACAGCCUAUCAACUGGACGUAUCAGUUAAGUAGAAAUUACAUUCCCUAAGCAUUUUAGUUGUGAGUUUUAAAAUUUUUAUUUCAUAUUUGUGUCUUUGGGCGAAUCGAAUAGGUUUUUCUCCUUUUUUAGAUAUAGGGUCUCCAGGACAUUUUUAUAUAUGUAAUUUUUUUCUUCACUUUAACAGCUGCAUUCAGCUGUGUUCUGGAAACAGUCCAGGAGAUUGCAGAGGUGCUAAAUCCUUUCUUAAUUUCUACUAGCAUUGAUAGAGCAGUCAAUUACUUUGCAGUCAUAGGGGUAUAGAAGCUGAGGGGGUGGGGGGGAGGAGAACCGGUUGAAGAGAGCCUGUGGUUAAGCUGGACCUUGACCUGACAAAGAUGGACCUGGUGUCGAGCAGGGCCUCCAUGUGUAAUGUGCCAGCAUGGGAUCUGCUCGUUCAGGGAGAACAACCAGAUCCCACUGGAACUCCACCAAGAUCUUAAAAUCCCUGAGGCCCUGCCUUUCCCUUGUUACCUGAGGAAGUAGAUAGACUGCACUGAGCGCCCUUUUUAGUCUCUACCUCUGUAGAGUGGGUAAGUUUGUGAAGUUCUAAAACCAGCACCUGUUUCCCUUCACCCAGAACAGCACACGAGAUGAAUCCCUGGACAGGUUAGAUCGCUUCCUUAGUGACUUCCGGACAGUGUCCAUUGUGCCUGCCCCUGCUCCCCCUACUCAGCAUUUGAAGAGGACAACUUUGUGGUUUAGACACUGAUUAUUUUAUAAACCAGUUACAUCAAUAUACCGCUUUUAUAGAGCCCUAUGGUAGUUUCCAAAAGCUUCCGCUCUAGUUAGGACUCCGCUAGCAAGUAUAGAGACCCAGCUUGGAUUAGCGUUAGUGGCAUUUGUUAGCUCCUCAGGAAAUGGAGCUCUCACCUCUCACCUUAGAGUGAGCACCCCAUACCAGGCCAUAGACCAUUGCUC